rnacentral:rRNA from 1 species
GUCCUAGCCGUAAACGGUGAUCACUAGGUGUUGGAGGCAUCGACCCCUCCAGUGCCGCAGCUAACGCAUUAAGUGAUCCGCCUGGGGAGUACGGCCGCAAGGUUGAAACUCAAAGGAAUUGACGGGGGCCCGCACAAGCGGUGGAGCAUGUGGUUUAAUUCGACGCAACGCGAAGAACCUUACCCAGGCUUGACAUGCACUAGACGGGUGUGGAAACACACCUUCCCUUCGGGGCUGUGCACAGGUGCUGCAUGGCUGUCGU